UCCAGUCAACAGAUGGCGAUGUGCGUCUUUCAGGCGAUGCUAUCAGCGUGACGUAUAAUCUAGUGGACGGAACACUUCUUCAACAACAUCUAGUCAGCCACUACGGUAGCUUCCUAGCCGAAACAUUCAAGCUGUUCAGACUUCUUCGGUGUAUAUUUGCCUCUGUAUUUAAAGCAUAAUUCUGUCAUAUAACUAGUUUCCCCAUUUAAUGUCAUAUUUCCGUAUAGUCAGGUAACGUUAGCUGGCUUGAUAAAUUAGCCUAUCACCAGGCUAGUCGCUAACUAGCUAGGUUAGCUGGCUAACAUCCCCGACCAUGAGUUCACUAAGUUACUCUCCUCCUGCUAAAGAAGAGGAGGUCUGCUGGACGGAGAAAGAAGCUCUUGUGUCUACAACAACAAGUAGAGGGUGAGGCUGUUACCGUGAAAGAAGAAGAGAAAGACGUUUAAGUUAAAGAAGAGGAAGACGCGUUCAGAGUGAAAGAGGAGGAGGAUGUUACAGUAAAAGAAGAGGAGGAAGAGAAAGAGGAUGAUGCAGUUUUUGGAGUGAAGGGGGAGGGGAUAACUGUCACAUUAAAGGAGGAGAAGGAAGAACAAUAAGAGGAGGAGGAGACAGGCGAUCUGAUUAAGACCAGAGAGGGACCAGACUGUCACUCUGACAGCAGGGAGACUCCUUCAGGGGAACCAGACCCAGAGACGCCCAAACCAGCGAAACAACACCACUGUUCCCAGUGUGGAAAGAGUUUUAAGUGGUUAAGGAACCUCAAAGUACAUGAGAGAACGCACACAGGAGAAAACCCUUACGAUUGCUUCCACUGUGGAAAGAGUUUUACCAAGUUAGGGAGCCUGAAAACACAUGAGAGGGGACACACUGGAGAGAAGCCUUAUCACUGUUCCCACUGUGCAAGGAAUUUUAGGUGGUAUGCGAGCCUGAAGGAGCAUGAGAGAAUACACACAGGAGAAAAGCCUUACCAAUGUUCCCGAUGUGAAAAGAGUUUUACCCGGUUAGGGAGCUUGAAAAGGCAUGGGAGAACACACACAGUAGAAAAGACUUUCCAACAUACUAAUACACAGGAGGAGAAGACAUCCCACUGCUCUCAUUGUGAAAAUACAUUUUCCCAGUCAGAGGACCUGAAAUCACACGAGAGAAUAGAGGCUGUGUUCUGACUUAUGUUUUUGAUUGAGAACUUGUUUUUGUUCAUGCUACAUUAAAUCAUAUUGUAUGAAUGAAAUCAUACUGAAAAAUAGGUCUACAUUUUUUUUCCAUCUCAAGAAAUGAUCAUGUCGAAAAUCGGAUUAAAAUAUAUAAAAAAAUAUUAUGUUUUGAUUAUGAACUUAAGAUUGAUUGAAUGCAAGUGUAAACCCCUAAAUGUUGUUCACUAUAUAAUUGGGAUAUUUCAAAAAUGUUAAUUAUUAAAUAGAUUAAUAUGAGUAUUUCUUCAUUCAGAUUGUCAUUGUAAAUGCGAAUUGGUUCUCAAUUGACAUAUCUGAUUAAAUAAAGGUGAAAUAAAGUAAAUGCCAUAUUA